rnacentral:lncRNA from 1 species
UCAACGACUCUUCAGUUUUCCUAAACUUCUCGCCGGAGAUGACCGCCGCAGAAGCCGCCGGAGCUGUCGAGAAUCUACGAGCCGAUGUAUUGGAAGCAGGUAAAUUAGUGUUAGCAUAGUGGUGCAGUGACCUCAAAGCGUAGUUCCAUCUAGCAAAACCUUGGGCCGCCGGAGCUGUCGAGAAUCUCCGAGCCAAUGUAUUGGAAGCAGGUAAAUUAGUCUUAGCAUAGUGGUGCAGUGAUCUCAAAGCGUAGUUCCAUCUAGCAAAACCUUGAUCUUUUAAUGCCUCUACUGCUCCAAUACUUGCUGC